GUCCACGCCGUAAACGAUGGAUACUAGGUGUUCGGAGUAUUAACCCUCUGAGUACCGAAGUUCACGCAUUAAGUAUCCCGCCUGGGGAGUACGGUCGCAAGGCUAAAACUCAAAGGAAUUGACGGGGGCCCGCACAAGCGGUGGAGUAUGUGGUUUAAUUCGAAGCAACGCGCAGAACCUUACCUGGGUUUAACAUUUAACGACAAUCUCAGAGAUGAGACUUUCUCUUCGGAGACGUUAGGAUAGGUACUGCAUGGCUGUCGU
rnacentral:rRNA from 1 species